rnacentral:rRNA from 1 species
AACGAACGCUGGCGGCAGGCUUAACACAUGCAAGUCGAACGCCCGUAGCAAUACGGGAGUGGCGGACGGGUGAGUAACGCGUGGGAACGUGCCCUGAGGUACGGAAUAACUGCGGGAAACUGCAGCUAAUACCGUAUGAGCCCCUUACGGGAGAAAGAUUUAUCGCCUUAGGAGCGGCCCGCGUCGGAUUAGCUAGUUGGUGGGGUAACGGCUUACCAAGGCUUCGAUCCGUAGCUGGUCUGAGAGGACGAUCAGCCACACUGGGACUGAGACACGGCCCAGACUCCUACGGGAGGCAGCAGUGGGGAAUCUUGCGCAAUGGGGGCAACCCUGACGCAGCCAUGCCGCGUGAAUGAUGAAGGCCUUAGGGUUGUAAAGUUCUUUUGCCCGUGACGAUGAUGACAGUAACGGGAGAAUAAGCUCCGGCUAACUUCGUGCCAGCCGCCGCCGUAACAC